UUAAGUUGUUGCAGUUAAAAAGCUCGUAGUUGGAUUUCUGGUGGGGCUGUCGGCCUGGCUCCGAAAGGGGUCGGUGCUUGAACACGCCUGGCCAUCCUCGGGGGAAGCUUUGCUGGCAUUAGGUUGUCGGCGGAGUGACGCUCGUCGUUUACUGUGAACAAAUUAGAGUGUUCAAAGCAGGCCUAUGCCGUUGAAUACAUUAGCAUGGAAUAAUGAGAUAGGACUUUGGUGGUCUAUUUUGUUGGUUUGCACGCCGAAGUAAUGAUUAAUAGGGGCGGUUGGGGGUAUUCGUAUUCAAUUGUCAGAGGUGAAAUUCUUGGAUUUAUGGAAGAC
rnacentral:rRNA from 14 species